AACUCGGCUUUUUUACAUUUAGGUUCGGUUCAGGUUCAAUCCGAAAAAAUUUGAAUUUCCGGAUUACGAGUUUUGAACUUGGAUCAACAAAUUAAAAAAAUUAAAAAUUAAAAAUUAAACAGGUUCCAAAACAUUCAAAACAAAUACCUGCGCUAAAUUUUAGUGGUUCCGAUCAAUAAAACAUCCACAAAUACAAAUGUAUAACAUAAGUCUACAAUUCAAAGUUCAAAUGUUGAAGAUAUUAUUUCGAAUCUAUUAUUAGUAAGAAUAAAAAAUAUUUUGAAGCAUAAAUCACAUAAGCAUAACAAUGUCGAAACUCACGAUUCACGAACUUCAACUUCAAGAAUCGGCGUCCGACAAAGCCCGUUGGUUUCUGAUCGCAAACUUCUGACUGCAUCGGAGCUAGCGCUAGUCACGACGGCAGCUGAUGAUGAUUAACACAACGUUUGAUGAUGACGGUGGCGUUUCAUGGUGGUGAUGAUGAUGAAGAAUAGAGCCGCGAAGGCGGAGCACGGUGAUGAGGAGACGAACACGUGCUGAAGAGAAAGGAAAUGUUUGGCACUUUUGGCUUCGAUUUUCAGCGGCAGCGACUAUUAUAGUGAUGAAACCAAGGUUUCUUUUAAUGUUUCUAUUUAUAUUAAACAUAAUUAAAGAAAUAGUAUAAAAUAAGAUAUUCGGGUCCAGGUUUUGGAUUUGCGGUUUCAGUCAAAUCUGGACCCGGAACCGGCAAUAUCCGGGUCAACAAUUUUACAUCUGGAUAUCAAUUUUUUCAAAAUCAACCCGGACUGGAUUAUCUGGUUCGUUCGGGUCUGAGUUAAAUUACCAUCCCUAAUUAAGACUGUGAAGAACCACGAAAGAUAUUGUGCCAGUGAAUGUUCUUCUUCUUCUUAUUAUUAACAAUAAUUUUGAAUAAU
rnacentral:lncRNA from 1 species